rnacentral:lncRNA from 1 species
CUAAAUCAAAGGGCAGGCUGCACUUUUGGCUGGUGGCCAAGGUUCUGGAGGCAGCCGGUGAGGACCAGGCAUGCAGUGCGAACCGCUCGGGGCACCGGACAGCAUCCACUUCCCGCGCACCCACGAAGAGGGCAAUAUAAGAACUGGGCACUCAGCACGAUUUGCAAUUCAUGGGAGUUCUGGAAUUUUGAAUUUCAGAGGUUCUAGAAUGCUGGAACUUGCACCUUGGUGGUGUUCUAGAACUCUCAGGGAUACUGGAUUUCUAGAACUACAAAAGGGUCCUGCGUGAGGGGACAGAUCUCGCGGACUUUAGAGUUUCUCUCUGCCACCACUUAACUUUGAAGCUCCGUGAUGAUGUUGUGGGGCCCUUGGGGCCGCUGAAAUGUCUGGGCAGCUGUCUGCUUGUCUCUCUCGGAUUCGGAGCUGACAGAAUUCAUAUCAGAAGAGUGAACGCAGGGACAUCUGUGUGCGGAAUGACUGUGCUGCUCGAACCUGCCAAUCGCUCCUGGCACGAGCUGGAUUCCUGAGAAUAAGAAAAGGGACAAGAAAGGAG